GAGGACCAGGCGCGGGAGCGGGAGCGGGCGACUGGCCGGGCCCUCCCGGUCUCGGCAGCCACUUCUAGCUCCCGGCCCAGCCGGGAGACGCAGGUGCCACGGAGAUGGGCAGCCGGGCGGGUGGCGCAGUGCAGGCAGCUGUAUCAAUCGCUUCCCCUCCAGGGACCCGCCGGUGCCUGGGGACCGCGGGCUGUGCAGCUGUGCCGGGCCUGCGGAGGCCGCCGCCCGGGAGCUGGGAGGCAGGGGGCGCGUGGUCAAGAGCCGCCCUCGACCUGGCCUGGUCGGUCCUGGCCCGGCGUAGGUGACGAUGGCGGGGACCGCGAGGCGCCGGACACCCGAGGCCACGAGCAGCGUCGCCCCUCGCUUUUUCGCGCCCCUCCAGCCCUGCAGUCCUUCCUCUAAGUCCGUCUGCCCCUCACCGAUUGAAAGUGGCCCCGAGAAUAUUGGAUGAGCUGCAUCAUCCUACCACUUCUCUGAUAAGAAUCUUAAGGAAUACUGUACAAUGGUUCCAGGCAUGAAGCAUGUGCUGUCCUGGGCCCUGAAUAUCAAGCCAGGUAGAGGAACCCCAUCCUUCUGUUGUCAUUUCAAGCUAGAGGCUCAAGCCUGGAGGAGUGAGGAUCAAGAUCGAGAACUCAAAGCUGUUUAGAGGAAGAAGCCAAGUUCAAGGAGGAGUGAGGAACGCUUGAGGCGAAACCUUUUGGAAGCUCAGGAAGCUUGGAGGAUUUCGUGGAUUACAGAAUGUUGAAGUUGGAGAACUGUAGAGGGGCCUAAAAAAUGUUCCAGAAUCAAGACGGUGCCUGAUGCCCUACCUAGCCCCUCUCCAGCACACAGGAGCCCCGGGCCCUUGGCAAU
rnacentral:lncRNA from 10 species